CUGAACAAAUCAGGAACAUGUCCCCUGAGCUGCAGGGUUCCCGGAGACAACCUUUACGCCGCUGAAGUCAGAGGUCGUCCGUUCCAGAGGGAAACAGUGGCGACACCCCAGAGGCGUUCAGUAGACUAAUAGGACUGACUACAUCAUUAAGAAGGCAAGUUUACCAGAGAUGACUUAAGUUCAGCCAAGCCUAAAGGGGAACAAGUUUUUCUAAGAUGAUUGACAGCAACUCCGUUGAUGUGUAGGAGGAAAUGAAUGAGGCUCUUGUGAAGAAAAGGCCAACUCCACAAGAGGGCAGACUGUUGAAGAUGUUUACAUGUGCCAGCUUUCACAGGUAUGAGUGUGUGUAAAGCGCUUUCACCCUUAUAAUGUGCCCCACACCGAGCAUUUGCUGAGGUUGGCAGUUUGUCAGUGCCAUUGCUUAAGGCUCUGUAGCGCCGCACGCAGAACCAUUAAAAAUAACGAGCUUUCUCUCACCAUGACAACCACAUAACUCCUCAUCAUAGCAGAGCGCACAAUAGUUUUUACAAGAGCUUUUAAUUUCAAACCCAUCCAGUGAAAAUUCCCAUUGGAAAGCACCUUGGCAUUUUCAUUGGCAAAACGUUAUGUUACAAUUGUAGAUGAUACAUGAAAAGAGCGUCAAGAGACUAUGGUUAUGAAAUGAAGGAGAAAAAACAGCACGGGAUGGAAUCAUGUGAGCUCAAUUGAUUGUGUGUUUAUUUCAGUUGGCCGAGUCCCUCUCUGAAAUGUUAAAACACUGGAAACAUUGCCUCCAACAAUUGCUCUCGAUCUCUGUUGCCUGUCAGUUGUUGGUAAUUUAGCUAGUGGUUUCCACAGAUCAAUAUGCUUGCCCUGCGGAGCUACACACAACAGAUUUGUGUUCCAUGUUCCUGCCAUCAUAGAGAAAAUUUAGGACACUGGGAUGUAGGAGUG
rnacentral:lncRNA from 1 species